CAGCAGCCGCGGUAAUACGUAGGUGGCAAGCGUUGUCCGGAUUUAUUGGGCGUAAAGCGAGCGCAGGCGGUCAAUUAGGUCUGAUGUGAAAGCCCCCGGCUCAACCGGGGAGGGUCAUUGGAAACUGGUUGACUUGAGUGCAGAAGAGGAGAGUGGAAUUCCAUGUGUAGCGGUGAAAUGCGUAGAUAUAUGGAGGAACACCAGUGGCGAAGGCGACUCUCUGGUCUGUAACUGACGCUGAGGCUCGAAAGCGUGGGUAGCAAACAGGAUUAGAUACCCCUGUAGUCCCUGUCUCUUAUAC
rnacentral:rRNA from 1 species